rnacentral:rRNA from 1 species
GGGGGGGGGGGGGGGGGGGGGGGGGGGGGGGGGGGGGGCGGGGGGGGGCGGGUGGGGGGGUGCGGGGGGGGGGAACGGGGGGGUCACGCGUGGGUGAUGUGCCCUGCACGUCGGGAUAAGCGUGGGAGACGGGGGGUAAUCCGGGCUGAGACGGCGCUGGGGGGGGGGGGGGGGCAGGUUUUUUCGGGGUAGGCUGGGCUCGCGGCCUAUCAGCUUGUUGGUGGGGUAAUGGCCUACCACGGCGGCGACGGGUAGCCGGCCUGAGAGGGUGUACGGCCACAUUGGGACUGAGAUACGGCCCAGACUCCUACGGGAGGCAGCAGUGGGGAAUAUUGCACAAUGGGCGCAAGCCUGAUGCAGCGACGCCGCGUGGGGGAUGAAGGCCUUCGGGUUGUAAACUCCUUUCGCUAGGGACGAAGCUUUUUGUGACGGUACCUAGAUAAGAAGCACCGGCUAACUACGUG